rnacentral:rRNA from 1 species
CCUACGGGAGGCAGCAGUAGGGAAUUUAUCACAAUGGGCGAAAGCCUGAUGGAGCAACGCCGCGUGCAGGAUGAAGGCCUUCGGGUUGUAAACUGCUUUUAUAAGCGAGAAAUAUGAUGGUAACUUAUGAAUAAGGAUCGGCUAACUACGUGCCAGCAGCCGCGGUCAUACGUAGGAUCCGAGCAUUAUCCGGAGUGACUGGGUGUAAAGAGUUGCGUAGGUGGCAUAAUAAGUAGCUAGUGAAAUCUGGUGGCUCAACCAUUCAGACUAUUAGCUAAACUGUUAAGCUCGAGACCGUUAGGGGUAACUGGAAUUUCUAGUGUAGGAGUGAAAUCCGUAGAUAUUAGAAGGAACACCAAUAGCGUAGGCAGGUUGCUGGGACGGUUCUGACACUAAGGCACGAAAGCGUAGGGAGCAAACGGGAUUAGAUACCCCAGUAGUC